GAUGAACGCUGGCGGCGUGCCUAAUACAUGCAAGUAGAACGCUGAAGGAGGAGCUUGCUCUUCUGGAUGAGUUGCGAACGGGUGAGUAACGCGUAGGUAACCUGCCUGGUAGCGGGGGAUAACUAUUGGAAACGAUAGCUAAUACCGCAUGACAACAGUUAUUGCAUGAUAACUGUUUAAAAGGGGCAACUGCUCCACUACCAGAUGGACCUGCGUUGUAUUAGCUAGUUGGUGAGGUAACGGCUCACCAAGGCGACGAUACAUAGCCGACCUGAGAGGGUGAUCGGCCACACUGGGACUGAGACACGGCCCAGACUCCUACGGGAGGCAGCAGUAGGGAAUCUUCGUCAAUGGACGGAAGUCUGACCGAGCAACGCCGCGUGAGUGAAGAAGGUUUUCGGAUCGUAAAGCUCUGUUGUAAGAGAAGAACGAGUGUGAGAGUGGAAAGUUCACACUGUGACGGUAUCUUACCAGAAAGGGACGGCUAACUACGUG
rnacentral:rRNA from 1 species